GGGCCCGGCCGUGGGGCUCCGUGUGGGCGGCUCGUGAGCGGCGGCGAACCCGUUAGACCCUGCGCGUCUGCCGAGCUUCAGGGCGAGGCCGUGGCAAAGCCGGGAUGGAAAAAUCUGAAGGCGUUGCCCGGGUAGCCGUGCCUUCCAUUUCGUUUUGCACGGAGGUGUAGGGGGAAAAAAACCAACCCUGCAAUCGUUACUUCUGAGGUAAUAAACCACAAUUGGGACCCACAUUUCCAAUACUAAGCAAGGCAGCUGCUAAGUGAAUUUACUUCUAAGGACAUUGCAUACAACUCAGAGAGAAGUAGAAAUUCAUUUUGAAAAUGAUGGAGAGGAGUUGCCUAGUACCCUGACCAAUCAGAAGAAGAGAAUCACGUGGUCAUGAACUUGAAGAUUUUGGCUUGUAAAAUCACGCCACCGUUUUUGGUACGACUAGUCCCUGCUGUAUGGAAUGGAGAGCAAAAACAAAUCUUUUGACAGACAAAGCAGCUGCAAGAUUAUUUUUUUAAAGACCUUUUUUUUUUUAUUCCUACCUCUUUUAUUUUUAUAAAUAACAUAAGAUGGUGAAUAUACUUAAUGCUCUUUCUUCCUCCUAUUUUCCCCACAACAAGAAACUUGUGAGGUGAAUUGGGCUGAGGGACAGUGACUGGGCCAAAGUCACCCAGCUGGAUAAGCCCAACCUAAUUCAGGAUGGUUUCUAAAUAAAUUAUUGUCCAGGGCAUUGUC